CAUGAACGCAGCUUCAUCCCUUGUGGUGCUCCCCCGCCAAUCCUUAAGUUCAUACUUUGAACCCNGUACGUUACCUUCCCAGGCGGCAGACUUAACGGCUUCCCUGCGGCACUGCAUUGGCCACAAGCCAAUGCAUCACCGAGUCUGCAUCGUUUACAGCUGGGACUACCCGGGUAUCUAAUCCGGUUUGCUCCCCCAGCUUUCAUCCCUCACCGUCGAACGUGUUCUGGUACACCGCCUUCGCCACAGGUGGUCUUCAAUAGAUCAAAGGAUUUUACCCCUUCCUAUCGAGUACCGUGUGCCUCUCCCACUCCCUAGCUGCACAGUAUUUUCGGCGGCCUAUACGUUAAGCGCAUAGAUUUAACCGAAAACUUAUGCAACCGGCUACGGAUGCUUUAGGCCCAAUAAACCUCCUGACCACUCGAGGUGCUGGUUUUACCGCGGCGGCUGACACCAGAACUUGCCCACCCCUUAUUCACCAGUGAUUCUACAACUGACAAAAGACUCCUUUAGCAGGAGACACUCGGAUUAACCUUGUCCGUGCUUUCGCACAUUG
rnacentral:rRNA from 1 species